GCUGGGAGUGUGGGCGUGGGAAGGGGUCGGUGGGAGGGGCUCCGCGUGGGAUGGGGCAUCUGGCGCCCACUCACCAGGUCUGCGCGGGAGCCCUCGUGGGGGGGCUUGGGCUGCCGGAGCUCGCUGGGUGCCAGCUGCAGGGACACACCGUGGCUGUGGCCCCCGUGGCUAUGGCUGCUGUGGCCGCAGGGCCCGUCCUCCAGGUCCUGUGAGGGUAGGUGCUCAGUGUCCACCAGGCCCCCAGCACACCCACCCGCCGGGUACCUUCCCAAGAAGCCUGACCUCCGGGUCCCUGGGCAGCAGGAGAUUGAAGAGGUUCUCAAACAGGAAGAAGGCGUAGAGCCCGGCCAGCAUAGCCAGGAGGCGCCAGGCGCUGCAUCAAGGCUGACAGCUCUGGCAGGGAGAAGAGUUGGCACCGCGAGUCUGUGUGGGCUCCGGCCCUGCCCCCCAGGGACGUGGAGGCUGGGGACUCGGGGGUGCCCCCCUCCACAGCCCAGCCCAGGCCUCACCGGCCAGCGUCAUAGGGACCUCGCUGCUGUGCUGCUGGAACACAAAGUCCACGAAGUACUGAGGGCUCGGCAAGGCGUGGAAGCAAGACCCGCUCCUGACAUGGUCCAGCAGGGCAGCCAGGACGCCGCCAGCACUGCCCGGAGCCCCCGCCCCCACCGCCUCCUCCAGCAGCUGAGGGAUAUCUACGCAGGCCUGGGGAAGAGGGGGCCUCCGCCUCAGCCUUUGGUGUGACCUUCUGCCAUCCACCCCGCUGCCCCUGGAUGCAUCUCCCACCCCAACUACAGGAUCUGCCCCCACCAGCCCCGCCCCUCCCUGGAGCCACAGCCCUCCCUGCCGGGCCCAGCUGCUUCAGGCUCCCACUCAGGCCUCUGGGUUCCUCCCUCAUGAGGUCCCUCCCGGGGCUCCUACAGGCUCCCAACUGCCCAGUAGUGAGCCCCACGUUGUGAAUCCCCAGCCGCAGGCCGACUCCUGGGCGUCUCCCCAGGCCCCCAGGCUCCCCGAAGGCUUUGCAGCCAGGCCGGGUCCCAUGGGCCGUGGGACCCUCCUCACCCACUCCCCUGGUCUGCCUGGACUCUCCCUCACCAUCUUGGGGGUCUGGCCGGCAGCCCGGGCCUGCAUCCUCUGCAGCAGCCAGCUCAGGCCCGGGGUCAGGGCCUUGGGGCUCUCGAGCAGG
rnacentral:lncRNA from 1 species